rnacentral:snRNA from 1 species
GUGCUUGCUUUGGCAGCACACAUACUAAAAUUGGAAUGAUAUAGCGGAAGGUUAGCAUGGCCCCUGGACAAUGAUGACAGGCAGAUUAGUGAAGCGCUCCGUGUUUUU